UACGUAGGGGGCAAGCGUUGUCCGGAUUCAUUGGGCGUAAAGAGCUCGUAGGCGGUUCGGCAAGUCGGGUGUGAAAACUCUGGGCUCAACCUAGAGACGCCACCCGAUACUGCUGUGACUUGAGUCCGGUAGGGGACCACGGAAUUCCUGGUGUAGCGGUGAAAUGCGCAGAUAUCAGGAGGAACACCAAUUGCGAAGGCAGCUCGCUGGGACGUAACUGACGCUGAGACGCGAAAGCGUGGGGAGCAAACAGG
rnacentral:rRNA from 1 species